GGCCGGCUCCCCGCGGCCCUGCCCGCCGGCUCCAGCGCAGUCUCGAGAGCAACAGGUUAAGCCGACGAGACGUCACCGCGCCCCCUCCCCGCCCCCCGGUUCUCCCCCCGCCUCGCGCCGGCCUCCCCCUCCUCCUUCCACCCCCCCCUCCCCCGUCGCUCCGGGUUCCCGGACGCUCCCGGCCGCGUUCUGUUGUCAUUGUGACGUCACAAAGGGACGGGCCCGGGUGGAACCUUCUCCUCCUCCUCCGUGACGUCAAAAGUCGGGCGGGAGGUUCCACGCGGCGGGGCGGUCGGGGGAGGAGGGAACGGGCGGAGGCGGGGGCGGCCGCGGAGCAGGGCUGCGGCGUGGGAGGAGGAAGAGGAGGAGGAGAAGGAUGCGAUCGGCCUCCGCCUUCCGCCCCGAAAUGCUGCGCUUCCCUGCAGGUCUGCUGAUGGCGUGGCUGAUGGUCUGCUGCGGUGGUCGUUGUGAUCGCUCAGCAACGCUUUUGAAAAAAGCAAGGAAACUUUAUUCAGGGAAAAGCUUUGCUCUGUAAGAAGGACUGUGUUGUGGAUUUGGCCACCUUGUCACUUGAAGUCAUGUUUGGGGUGCCUUUGGGGGAUGGGACGGGAUGCCUUUCUGGGUGAUGCUGUUCAGCAGCAACUGUUGCUCUUUCUGGAAGCCUUGUAAUACUGUGGAGGGGGUGGCGCUCCUCCUCUGCUGUGCCAGCUCUGUGCUGUAUCUUUUUUGGGGGCCCGGGCGAGGUAAGAUUUGUCAUGUAUAUGUAUUCUUAGAAGAGCACUGGACAGUGAAGUCCCCGGGUACUCUGUGCUUAGUACUUUUGAACGGUGGAACGAGAGGCUUGGAAUCUGAGUGUGUUUGUAUUUACUGUUCUGUAAAAUGGAAAUGGUAACACCUGACCUGCUUUUGCCCCGCACUUUAUCUGAGAGGCUCACGUGUGUGAGAGAUAAUGUGCGCGAAAGAUGUAAAACAGUGUGCUCUUUCUGUGUAAGGUGGUAUUAUCAAGCUGGUGGAAGGCAGCACUUUUCUUACAAUUGGUCUCAAAAGCCUUAGAUGCGUGCAGCGUUGCCAUUUUAGUUUAUUGCCUUAACAAGGCAGAGUUUGGGGGUGGGAUUGUCGAUGGCAGACCUUGGGAGAAAUGAUUGUUGUAUUUCAUAUUAAAUGGCAUCCUUGAGAAACUCAUAAAUUGUAAGGUAAUCCUGUCUUAAUUGUGCCGGGCACGACCCCUCCCCCCCCAAUACCUUAAAUAACUGAAAACAGUUGCCUUUCAAAGCGCCAUUCCACUUGGACAAUAAAAACAGUAGCUGUCUUGCUCUAUGGAUGUUUUCUACCAUUUCCUUCACUCUGCUGGUGGGGUUAUUCCUAGGGAAAAUAACGGAUAUGAUAUCCAAGGUUCAAAACCAUUGGGUCUUUGAUGCUUUAUAGCAGGUAUGCGUUUGAAAUAAAAAUCCCUGCCACGUGAAUAAAAAAUUCUAUGACGCACGCACUGAGCUCAAAAACAAAUUACUGGUUUGAUUCCUAGGACAGCUCAAGCGGAAUUUGUAGCACCAGGCUGUAAGGGUUUUAAGUAUCUAAUUUUCUGAUGUAAAAGUGCAGCAUAAUUAAACAAGACUGGAAAAAGUUCAUGUUACAAGGUUCAAAAGCAGGAUUUGCCAUAAUUACAAUUUCAUAAAAUUCUAAAGAAAAAAGUAGAAGCACACCAAAAUGUAGUGGAAGGAUUUAUGAGCCCCCCC